rnacentral:tRNA from 1 species
GUCCCUGUAGCCCAAUUGGUAGAGGCUGCGAACUUAAACCUCGUUUACGUGUCGGUUCGAGUCCGACCGGGGACA